rnacentral:rRNA from 1 species
CCUACGGGAGACAGCAGUGGGGAAUAUUGCACAAUGGGGGAAACCCUGAUGCAGCGACGCCGCGUGAGUGAAGAAGUAUUUCGGUAUGUAAAGCUCUAUCAGCAGGGAAGAAAUAGCGACCUUUGGGUCGCCAGCCGGUAUCUGCCUAAGAAGCGCCGGCUCACUACGGGCCAGCAGCCGCGGUAAUAUGGAGGGGGUACGCGUUAUCCGGAGUUACUGGGGGUAAAGGGAGCGUGGACGGCAGGACAAGUCUGAAGUGAAAUGCCGGGGCUUAACCCCGGAACAGCUGUUGAAACUGGGCAGCUAGAGUGCAGGAGAGGUAGGUGGAAUGCGUGGUGUAGCGGUGAAAUGCGUAGAUAUUAGGAAGAACACCAAUGGCGAAGGCAGCUUACUGGACUUUAACUGACGUUGAUGCUCGAAAGCGUGGGGAGCAAACAGGAUUAGAUACCCCAGUAGUC